rnacentral:snRNA from 1 species
AUACCUUUCUCGGCCUUUUGGCUAAGAUCAAGUGUAGUAUCUGUUCUUAUCAGUUUAAUAUCUGAUACGUGGGCCAUGUGCCCACCUCGAUAUUAAAUUAAUUUUUAUGUGGGGGAGGGCCCACCCACAGUAGCUUGCUACUGGGGCCCUCGCGCGUCGCCCUUGCAUUGCACUACUGCUCGGGCCUGGCGCACCCCUA